UUGUUAGGAGAAACAGCUUUACAAGUUCAGGGACACAAUUAAAGACAAUGAAAGGGAAUUGAUGGGAAUAAAAUGAAGAAACAUCAUAACAAAAAGAGUAAAACAAGGAAGAAAAGAACUCUGACAUAGUGGGGUGUCAGAGCUCCCAACUCAGGGGCACGAUAAAACCUGUCAGCUGAAAAGACAGAGUGGGAAAAAUCAAUUGGAGACCAGCGUGUUGUAACUAAAGGGAAGCAAACCACCAUGUCAUCAGCUGCUCCAAGAGUCCUGCAGAGAGGCCCAGGCUCCACUCACAUGGAGAAGCCAAGAAUAUGAUGGUUCCAAAGAAGCAAAGAGCAGCUCUUAGGAACAAACUCCAUGAGACCCACCCAGGUGAAGAUUCCUCGCAAGGCAAGGGUCAGGAAUGACAGCUGUCAUACAGUUGUGUCUGUCACUUAAAUGUACUGAAAUAAAGUCUGGUGUGUUCUCUGCCUUCCUGAGGUGCCAGAAUGGGAUUCUCUCUGUGCCACAGACUGAAUGGCAAAAGGAAUCCAGGGCAUGACUGACCUGGAAAGUACCACUGAGCAUCUGCAGGGAAAAGCAAUGGGGAAAGAAAACCUGUAGAGACCAGCAAGGCACUGAGAGCCUUUGGCCAAUCAAACAACUCCAGUUUACAGCAGUGGCUUUUUAAUUCCUAUUUUACAAUUUUCAGAUAUGCUGAACAAACUCCAUUUAAUUACUUCUAAAUUGGCUACGUUUGGAGAAUAAACAGAUAGUCAAUGUUUUCAUGAAAACAGAGUGACUUCCAAUACAAAGCUCAAUUCAAAAGUGGCAGAAAGGUGCCAGAGAGUGUGACAGGGUGUGAAGGGAUGUGAGGCCCAGCAGACAUCAGAGCAGUUUGUAUUGUGUAAUAAUUCAUUGCACACAUACUGGAAAUUGGUUUGAUUCUGGUUUCUGCAUCUAAAAAUUCAGAUGUGCCUCAGUACUACAGAAUACCAUGGGGAUUACUGGAUGCUCCUAAAGCUCUUGAAAGAUGUUCAGGAAGUGCAGACUUCCAGAAAUCAAAUCAAUUGAGCUGCUAAAUUUGAUUGGAAAGCGGAGGAAGACUUUUUAUCUUGUUUUCUAAAGGCAAUAAAUGUGCAAGUACAUGACUGACCACCAAGGGUCAGUGUUUGGUGUUUUUACAUUCUGACAUCUUUUUUCCCAGGCGCUUGGAAAAUCCCUCUUAGAUUCAGUUCUGUAAUUAGGAUUUUUUUAACUGCCACUGUAUGGCAUAUGUGCUAUACAAAUUACAGGAAAAUUCAAGUGUCUGGAUAUGGGGCUUUUGUCAGCCAGCUACCAAGCUAUGCCUGAACGGAGUAUUGUUCAUAUUCCUGGAUAUAAUGAUGCAAGUCCCAUUGAAAAUAAUAAAAAAAUCCUAGGAACUGCAUUUUAUUUUUAUGAAUAGCAAUUAAAUUAUUGUAGCAAAUGCCAUUCUCUGUUUUGUUAAGAAAGUUAAGACAGCCCUCGCUGAGAGAUUGUCAGGUGCUUUGUCAAGAUGGCAAGGGAUGCACUGUCAGGAGGAGUGAGCACAUUUUAAAUAAGUUCCUGUUGAGAGAAGUAAUUGAACCUGCCUUUAAAACGUAGUAACAGUGGAUAUCAGACAUCAGGAGACUGAGCUGCAGUCCUGGCGUCAGGUGCAGGUCUGGCUGGCCUCCCCUGUUUCUGGGAUGUUCAUAUAGGUCAUAAUCCUUGAUUGGCACAAACCCAGAAUGUACUGACAGACAUUCAUAUAAACUGCAGCUCAUGAAGAAAUCUCCAACCAGGCUUAAAAAAUAAACCCAAGCCACCUUACUCUACAUAAGGCGCAGAGAUCCCUUUGUUCCCCUUCUGCCCCACGGCUGAGCUCCAGGCACAGCUCCCCAGUGCUGGGGAGUUUCUGAUGUGGCCCCGCUUAGCUGUGACUUGAAAGAUAUAAAAACUGGGCAGAUCCCUGUGUGGAGCUGAUUUUAGUUCUCUGUAGACGCAGUGCUGACUCUGCUCUGUCUGGGUGAGCACUCAGUCUGACCUGGAUGCAGCAGCCAGGAGCACACGGAUGAGCUGAUCUCUCCUGACAUAAUCCCAGAUUACCCGACCUGCACAGCCUGCCUUGUUUUUUACAUGGAUCUCAGCCUCACUCCUUGCCCUAGCCAGUCUGGAUCACCCUUCCAGCACUGCCAUCCCUUAAGAAUAAUCAUUUCUGGAUGCUUCUGAAUGAGGACCAAGCCUCAAGGAAGGAGGUAAAAUUAUGGAAACUACAAAGUAAAGAGGGAUAAAAUAAACAAAAGCUACUAGAAAUUUAAAAAGAGCAAAAAGUACUAAAAAAAACCUAAAAUGAGCAUGCUAAACAGUACAAAUCCUAGCACAGAACUCUGGGGGAUUUUACUGUAAAAACCUUUUAUUCCUUAUUCUAUUUUUAAUAAGGAUUUAUUUUAA